rnacentral:rRNA from 1 species
UUCAACGAGCCUAUCCUUGGCCGACAGGCCCGGGUAAUCUUUGAAACUGCAUCGUGAUGGGGAUAGAUUAUUGCAAUUAUUAAUCUUCAACGAGGAAUGCCUAGUAAGCGCGAGUCAUCAGCUCGCGUUGAUUACGUCCCUGCCCUUUGUACACACCGCCCGUCGCUCCUACCGAUUGGGUGUGCUGGUGAAGCGUUCGGAUUGGCGUUAGUGGGCGGUCUUCCGCCUGCUCUCACUGAGAAGUUCGUUAAACCCUCCCACCUAGAGGAAGGAGAAGUCGUAACAAGGUUUCCGUAGGUGAACCUGCGGAAGGAUCAUUG